GACGGAAGGUGCAAGCGUUGUUCGGAAUUACUGGGCGUAAAGGGCGCGUAGGCGGCCGAUCAAGUCAGAUGUGAAAGUCCUGGGCUUAACCUGGGGGACUGCAUUUGAUACUGAUUGGCUUGAAUUCGGGAGAGGAUAGCGGAAUUCCCAGUGUAGAGGUGAAAUUCGUAGAUAUUAGGAAGAACACCGGUGGCGAAGGCGGCCCACUGGUCCGGUACUGACGCUGAGGUGCGAAAGCGUGGGGAGCAAACAGGAUUGAGAUACC
rnacentral:rRNA from 1 species